CGAACGGGUGAGUAACGCGUGAGGAACCUGCCUCAAAGAGGGGGACAACAGUUGGAAACGACUGCUAAUACCGCAUAAGCCCACGGCUCGGCAUCGAGCAGAGGGAAAAGGAGCAAUCCGCUUUGAGAUGGCCUCGCGUCCGAUUAGCUAGUUGGUGAGGUAACGGCCCACCAAGGCGACGAUCGGUAGCCGGACUGGGAGGUUGAACGGCCACAUUGGGACUGAGGCACGGUCCAG
rnacentral:rRNA from 1 species